AGGAGAAUAACUCUCCGAGCCUUUAUGUCUAAGGGGCGAAGAGCCCUAUGAGAUAAAGGCCGAUAGGGUAUUGAUGGAAACAUCAAUGCCUCCCGUGUUGGAAAGGAGAGGCAAUGCAUUUGCA
rfam:Thermoanaerobacter pseudethanolicus ATCC 33223, complete genome.